UACGAAGGGUGCAAGCGUUACUCGGAAUUACUGGGCGUAAAGCGUGCGUAGGUGGUGAGUUAAGUCUGUCGUGAAAGCCCCGGGCUCAACCUGGGAAUGGCGAUGGAUACUGGCUCGCUAGAGUGCGGUAGAGGAGAGUGGAAUUCCCGGUGUAGCGGUGAAAUGCGCAGAUAUCGGGAAGAACACCCGUGGCGAAGGCGACACACUGGCCCGUUACUGACGCUGAGGCGCGAAAGCGUGGGUAGCAAACAGG
rnacentral:rRNA from 1 species